GACGAACGCUGGCGGCGUGCUUAACACAUGCAAGUCGAACGGAAAGGCCCUGCUUGCAGGGUACUCGAGUGGCGAACGGGUGAGUAACACGUGGGUGAUCUGCCCUGCACUUCGGGAUAAGCCUGGGAAACUGGGUCUAAUACCGGAUAGGAGCCAUUUUUAGUGUGAUGGUUGGAAAGUUUUUUCGGUGUAGGAUGAGCUCGCGGCCUAUCAGCUUGUUGGUGGGGUAAUGGCCUACCAAGGCGGCUACGGGUAGCCGGCCUGAGAGGGUGGACGGCCACAUUGGGACUGAGAGACGGCACAGACACCUAAGGGAGGCAGCAGUGGGGAAUAUUGAACGAUGGGCGCAAGCCUGAUGAAGAGACGCCGCGUGGGGGAUGACGGUCUUCGGGUUGUAGACUCCUUUCGCUAGGGACGAAGCUUUUUGUGACGGUACCUAGAUAAGAAGCACCGGCUAACUACGUG
rnacentral:rRNA from 1 species